rnacentral:rRNA from 1 species
GAUGAACGCUGGCGGCGUGCCUAAUACAUGCAAGUCGAGCGAACAGACGAGGAGCUUGCUCCUUUGACGUUAGCGGCGGACGGGUGAGUAACACGUGGAUAACCUACCUAUAAGACUGGGAUAACUUCGGGAAACCGGAGCUAAUACCGGAUAACAUGUUGAACCGCAUGGUUCAACAGUGAAAGACGGUUUUGCUGUCACUUAUAGAUGGAUCCGCGCCGCAUUAGCUAGUUGGUAAGGUAACGGCUUACCAAGGCAACGAUGCGUAGCCGACCUGAGAGGGUGAACGGCCACACUGGAACUGAGACACGGUCCAGACUCCUACGGGAGGCAGCAGUAGGGAAUCUUCCGCAAUGGGCGAAAGCCUGACGGAGCAACGCCGCGUGAGUGAAGAAGGUCUUCGGAUCGUAAAACUCUGUUAUUAGGGAAGAACAAAUGUGUAAGUAACUAUGCACGUCUUGACGGUACCUAAUCAGAAAGCCACGGCUAACUACGUG